rnacentral:snRNA from 1 species
GUUCUCUCUUCUGCAUAUGUUCCAAAAUUGGAACAAAGUAGAGAAGAGUAGCCUGGCCCCUGCGCAAGUGUGACAUGUGAACUCAUGAAACAGUCCAUAUUUUG